AACGAACGCUGGCGGCAUGCCUAACACAUGCAAGUCGAACGAGAUCCUUCGGGGUCUAGUGGCGCACGGGUGCGUAACGCGUGGGAAUCUGCCCAAAGGUACGGAAUAACUCGGGGAAACUCGUGCUAAUACCGUAUGAUGUCGAAAGACCAAAGAUUUAUCGCCUUUGGAUGAGCCCGCGUAGGAUUAGCUAGUUGGUGGGGUAAAGGCCUACCAAGGCGACGAUCCUUAGCUGGUCUGAGAGGAUGAUCAGCCACACUGGGACUGAGACACGGCCCAGACUCCUACGGGAGGCAGCAGUGGGGAAUAUUGGACAAUGGGCGAAAGACCUGAUCCAGCAAUGCCGCGUGAGUGAAGAAGGCC
rnacentral:rRNA from 1 species